GGUUAAGCGACUAAGCGUACACGGUGGAUGCCCUGGCAGUCAGAGGCGAUGAAGGGCGUGCUAAUCUGCGAUAAGCGCCGGUAAGGUGAUAUGAACCGUUAUAACCGGCGAUACCCGAAUGGGGAAACCCAGUGUGAUUCGUCACACUAUCAUUAACUGAAUCCAUAGGUUAAUGAGGC
rnacentral:rRNA from 1 species